rnacentral:rRNA from 1 species
GCCGGAGGAGGCAGGGGGUAUCCGGAAUUAUUGGGCGCAAAGGGUACGUAGGCGGCUGGUCAAGUCUGGGGUCAAAGGCCACAGCUCAACUGUGGGAAGGCCCUGGAAACUGAUCGGCUAGAGUGAGGUAGGGGUUGCGGGAAUUCCCGGUGUAGCGGUGAAAUGCGUAGAGAUCGGGAAGAACACCUGAGGCGGAAGCGCGCAACUGGGCCUCAACUGACGCUGUGGUACGAAAGCUAGGGGAGCUAAUGGG